rnacentral:rRNA from 1 species
AACGAGACCUUAACCUGCUAAAUAGACAGGCCGGCGUUCGCUGGUCUCCGGCUUCUUAGAGGGACUGUCGGCGUCUAGCCGACGGAAGUUUGAGGCAAUAACAGGUCUGUGAUGCCCUUAGCUGUUCUGGGCCGCACGCGCGCUCCACUGACAGAGCCAGCGAGUUUUUUUUCCUUGUCCGGAAGGACUGGGUAAUCUUGUGAAACUCU